GAUGAAGAACGUAUUGAAAUGCGAUACGUAAUGUGAAUUGCAGAAUUCAGUGAAUCAUCGAGUCUUUGAACGCACAUUGCGCCCCCUGGUAUUCCGGGGGGCAUGCCUGUCCGAGCGUCAUUGCUGCCCUCAAGCACGGCUUGUGUGUUGGGCCUCCGUCCUCCUCCCGGGGGACGGGCCCGAAAGGCAGCGGCGGCACCGCGUCCGGUCCUCGAGCGUAUGGGGCUUCGUCACCCGCUCUUGUAGGCCCGGCCGGCGCUUGCCGACACAUCAAUCUUUUUUCCAGGUUGACCUCGGAUCAGGUAGGGAUACCCGCUGAACUUAAGCAUAUCAAUAAGCGGAGGA
rnacentral:misc_RNA from 1 species